rnacentral:rRNA from 1 species
UACGAAGGGGGCUAGCGUUGCUCGGAAUUACUGGGCGUAAGCGCACGUAGGCGGCUUUCUAAGUCGGGGGUGAAAUCCUGGAGCUCAACUCCAGAACUGCCUUCGAUACUGGAGAGCUCGAGUCCGGGAGAGGUGAGUGGAACUGCGAGUGUAGAGGUGAAAUUCGUAGAUAUUCGCAAGAACACCAGUGGCGAAGGCGGCUCACUGGCCCGGUACUGACGCUGAGGUGCGAAAGCGUGGGGAGCAAACAGG